AACGAACGCUGGCGGCAUGCCUAACACAUGCAAGUCGAACGAGACCUUCGGGUCUAGUGGCGCACGGGUGCGUAACGCGUGGGAACCUGCCCUUAGGUUCGGAAUAACUCCCCGAAAGGGGUGCUAACACCGGAUAAUGUCUUCGGACCAAAGAUUUAUCGCCCUUGGUUGGGCCCGCGUUGGAUUAGCUAGUUGGUAGGGUAAAAGCAUACUAAGGCGACGAUCCAUAGCUGGUCUGAGAGGAUGAUCAGCCACACUGGGACUAAGACACGGCCCAGACUCCUACGGGAGGCAGCAGUGGGGGAUGUUGGACAGUGGGCGAAAGCCUGAUCCAGCAAGGACGGGUGAGUGAUGAAGGCCUUAGGGUUGUAAAGCGCUUUUACCCGGGAUGAUAAUGACAGUACCGGGAGAAUAAGCUCCGGCUAACUACGUG
rnacentral:rRNA from 1 species